AAAAUUAUUCCUUUUGGCUGGGAAUGCUUACCCAUUGCCUGUAUAAGCAUUGUACCUUGGAAGUAGUUAACUUUCUUUAUAUUUCAGAGGCUCAUGAGCCUAAGGGUCUGCAGCCUUGUGUUAGAUGAGACUUUAAGCUUUGAAUAUUUGUAUAAAUGAUGAAAUGAUAUAAGACUUUGGGGGACUGUAGGGAAGCUAUCAUUGUAGUUUGCAAUGUGAGAAGGACAUGAGAUUUGGGGAGCCAGGGACAGAAUAAUAAAAUUUAGCUCUGUGUCCCUACCAAAAUUCGUGUGGAAUUGUAAUGGGGAAUGUUAAAGUUGGGGCCUGGUGGAAGGUGAUUUAAUCAUGGUGGAGUGUGGGGGUUGGGAGGUGGGGGAUAGGGAGAAUGGGGAGAUUAUGUUGGGGGUGAGGGGUGAAAAGUGAUGGUGGCUCCUUCACAAAUGAUUAGACACAAUCUCUUUAUUUCUGUACUUGUGAUGGUGAGUUCUCUUCAUGAUUUUGGAGCAGUGAGAUUGAAUGGAUACUGGUCUCCUGGGUUUUGGACUUGCAUUGGUCCUGUGGUCCCAUCUGUGUUAUUUUGCUGGGAAAUUUCUUCCCGUUGGACUGAGAAAGCUUACCCAAUGGGUGUACCAUCAUUGUGUCUUAAAAGAACACCCUUUUAAAUUCAGGGACUUAUAGGCAAAAGGGACUGUAGGCUUGUCUCAGAUGAGACGUUGAACCUUUUACAUUUGAGUUAAUGCUGGAAUGAGUUAAGACUUUUGGCAACUUUUGAAAAGGUGUGAUUGUAUUUUGCUCUGUGAGAAGGACAUGAGAUUCGGAGGGGUCAGGGUCAGAAUAACAUGGUUUGGCUGUGUUUCCCUACAGAAACUCAUGUGAAUUGUAAUCUUGAAUGUUGGAGAUGGGGCCUGGUGGAAGGUGAUUUAACCAUGGAUGGGAGGGGGUUGGAGUUGGAAGGAAAUAAAGUGGACAGUGUUGGGAGGAGUGGGUUGUCAGUAGGGUGGUGAGAGGAUGGUGGGUAUUAGGAAGCGGGAGUAGCCUGCUGCAGAGUCACAUCCUCAUGGAAAACCUCUGCUAGGGCAGUGCUCCUGUGGCUUUGCAGGCUUUAGCCCCCAUGGCUGCUCUCAUGGGCUGGGCUGGUGUUGAGUGCUUUUGCAUACUGAGGGUGCGGGCUGUUGGUGGGCUUAUGAAUCUGGGGUCUGGAGGAUGGUGGCCUCCUGUGUGGGGGCUCCAAGCCCAUAUUUCCCUUCUGCACUGCCAUAGUGGAAGUUUCCCAAGAGGCUCUGCCUCUGCAGGAGGCUUCUGCCUGGAAACAGUAGGCGGUGGUGUGUGUGGUGGAUCCUUCACCAGUGGUUAAUUUUGAUGCUGAUCUGAUAGUGAGUUCUCAUGUGAUCUGGUUGUAUAAUGGGCUGUGGCACCUCUUUUCUCUCUGUGUCUUGCUUCUAUUUCUGCCAUAUGAAACAUCUGAUUGCCACUUGGCCUUCUGAUGUGGUUAGGAGGGGCCUGAUCAGUGUGGGCCUGCUCAGUGGACCUAGUCAGUUGGGACUUGGUCAGUGAGGCCUGUUUAGUGGGAGCCUGGCCAGCAGGGGUCUGCUUAGGGAGGGUCUCAUUAGGGGGAUCCAGUAGUGGGGGUUUUGGCGAGUGGGGACCUAUUGGCAGCCAGUUGUUUGGUGUCUGGUCAGUGCAGACCUGGGCUGUGGGGCUUGACCAGUGGCGACCUGGUCAGCUGGGCUUAGUGGUGGCCUGGUCAGCAUGGGCUGGGUCACUGGUGACCAGGUCAAGGGCUGCUAUUCAGUGGAGGACUGGUCACAUGGGACCUAGUCAGCAGGGCCUGGUGGGCGUGUCCUCAUCAGUGAGUCCCUUGUCAGUGGGGACCUGAUCAGGGCAGCCUGGUCAUUGGAACCUCAUCAGUGGGGGCCUGGUCAGUGAUGACUUGGUCAGUGGUGGCUUUUGUAGCACUGGUCUAUGGGGUGACCCAGUCAGCGGGGACCUGAGUAGUCGGUGCCUGUUCAGUGGGGCCUACUCACUAGGGUCCCAGUCAGGGGCAUCUGGUCACCUCAGGCCUGGUUAGUAGGGGCCUGAUCAGUGGCAGCCUGUUCCCUGGAGGCCUGGUCAGUGGGGCCUCAUCUGUGGGGCCAGGUAAUGGGGUCAUGAUCAGUGGAAUCUGAUCAGUGAGGCCUUGUCAGUAAUGACCUAGUCAGUGAGGCCUUGUCAGUAAGGACCUUGUCAGUGAGGCCUUGUCAGUGGGGCCUUGUCAGUAAGGACCUGGUCAGUGAGGCCUUGUCAAUAAGGUCCUGGUCAGUGAGGUCUUCUCAGUUAGGACCUGGUCCAUGAGGCCUUGUCAGUGGGGCCUUGUCAGUAAGGACCUGGUCAGUGAGGCCUUGUCAAUAAGGUCCUGGUCAGUGAGGACUUGUCAGUAAGGACCUGGUCCGUGAGGCCUUGUCAAUAAGGUCCUGGUCAGUGAGGCCUUGUUAGUAAGGACUUUGUCAGUGAGGCCUUGUCAGUGAGGCCUGGUCAGUAAGGUCCUGUUCAGUGAGGCCUUGUCCGUGAGGCUUUGUCAGUAAGGAACCUGGUCAGUGGGGACUGCUGAGCGCUGCUUGGAGAAGCCAGGUGCAUUGCACGUUAUCGAGGGCCCUCUGGACAGCUGGGAUGGCCCAGUGAUGCCCAAUGGCCCGGUCAAAAGUAGACAAAGCAGUUGUUUGGAUGGACCUGGGAGAUGUUGCUCAGAGAUUCUGACAGGACAAAGGUGAAGAAAGGGUCA
rnacentral:lncRNA from 10 species